rnacentral:rRNA from 1 species
CAGCAGCCGCGGUAAUACGAAGGGGGCUAGCGUUGCUCGGAAUGACUGGGCGUAAAGGGCGCGUAGGCGGCGAUCAAAGUCAGGCGUGAAAUUCCUGGGCUCAACCUGGGGGCUGCGUUUGAUACUUGGUUGCUAGAGUGAGGAAGAGGGUCGUGGAAUUCCCAGUGUAGAGGUGAAAUUCGUAGAUAUUGGGAAGAACACCGGUGGCGAAGGCGGCGACCUGGUCCUUGACUGACGCUGAGGCGCGAAAGCGUGGGGAGCAAACAGGAUUAGAUACCCGGGUAGUCCCUGUCUCUUAUAC